UUCACUUGACCGAUUUCUUCA
rnacentral:piRNA from 1 species